CAGCAGCCGCGGGAAUACGGAGGAUGCAAGCGUUAUCCGGAAUGAUUGGGCGUAAAGUGUCUGUAGGUGGCUUUUCAAGUCCGCCGUCAAAUCCCAGGGCUCAACCCUGGACAGGCGGUGGAAACUACCAAGCUGGAGUACGGUAGGGGCAGAGGGAAUUUCCGAUGGAGCGGUGAAAUGCGUUGAGAUCGGAAAGAACACCAACGGAGAAAGCACUCUGCUGGGCCGACACUGACACUGAGAGACGAAAUCUAGGGGAGCAAAUGGGAUUAGAUACCCCGGUAGUCCCUGUCUCUUAUAC
rnacentral:rRNA from 1 species